rnacentral:rRNA from 1 species
AACGAACGCUGGCGGCGUGCCUAACACAUGCAAGUCGAACGGGGUAAGAGGGGCAACCUUCUUACUUAGUGGCGCACGGGUGAGUAACACGUAGGUAACCUGCCCUAGAGGGGGGGAUAACAUUCGGAAACCGGUGCUAAUACCGAAUAAGACCACGGACUGGGAUGUUUGGGGGAAAAGGAGCAAUUCACUUGAGGAGGGGCCUGCGGCCUAUCAGGUAGUUGGCGGGGGAACGGCCCACCAAGCCUAAGACGGGUAACCGGACUGAGAGGUUGAACGGCCACACUGGAACUGAGACACGGUCCAGACUCCUACGGGAGGCAGCAGUGGGGAAUUUUGCGCAAUGGGGGAAACCCUGACGCAGCGACGCCGCGUGAAGGAUGAAGGUCUUCGGAUUGUAAACUUCUUUUGUUGGGGACGAUAGUGACGGUACCCGAUGAAUAAGCCACGGCUAACUCUGUGCCAGCAGCCGCGGUAACAC